rnacentral:tRNA from 1 species
CAGAAGAUAGUUUAUUGUUAAAAAUACUGGUUUUGGGGACUAGUGAUGGGGGUUGUGCCUCUCUUUUGA